rnacentral:rRNA from 1 species
UACAGAGGUCUCAAGCGUUGUUCGGAUUCAUUGGGCGUAAAGGGCGCGUAGGCGGCCUGCUAAGUCGAACGUGAAAUCCCUGGGCUUAACCCAGGAACUGCGUCCGAUACUGGCAGGCUUGAAUCCGGGAGAGGGAUGCGGAAUUCCAGGUGUAGCGGUGAAAUGCGUAGAUAUCAGGAGGAACACCGAUGGCGAAGGCAGUGUUCUGGGCCAGUACUGACGCUGAGGAGCGAAAGCGUGGGGAGCAAACGGG